CCCCGUCUGCCCAGCCCUGCCAAGCUUCCCCCGGUGGGUCCCGAUGGAUGGCAUUGUGUGCGGAUAAGGGAUGCCAAGCUUCCCCCGCCGGACCCCGAGUUACGUGGGGGAUACGUUCCUGAAACACACCGUGUAAGUUGAAACCGUGUAACUGGAGGCAUCGUGUCAAUGGAAAACUGGGGGAUAGGGACCUGGAACCAAGAUUUGAUAACUUUGUUUUAUAAUAAAAGGAUAUUUAAACACAAAAUAA